UUUAAGUAAUCUUUACGCCAAAUGUGGGGCCCGAACGCACGACCCCAAGAUCAGGAGCUACACACUCCUCCCGCGGAGCCAGCCAGGCGCCUCCAAAUUCUGUUAUUUUUAUAAUUUCUGACCUCUUAGGUCUUGUUACCAUACAAUCAUAGCAUGUGCAAAUAAUGAUAGCUUCAGUCCCCCGCUGUUUAGUUUUUUCCUUUUCCUCACUGCAGAAGCCUCUGCCGAGUGUUGGAUGAGAGGGUGGGACCCGCACGGUCGCUGCGCUCCCAGUUUAGCGGAACUAGUGUCUGUGUGUCAAGAGUAACGUACUCGCCGUUGAGCUUGGGCAGCUGGCUUAAACGGUGUUUCGUUGGCAUACGUGUUAUUGUGAAUUUUCAGUAGGACUGGCUGCUGAUUUUAUAAACUAUCAUUUUGUCAUCUAGUGGUUUUUAGCUUUAAAACGGGCGAUAAACUUAGUGAGUUUCCUGACAUGCCAGUCUCUCAAAUUUGGGGCCUCCCUCCCCUCUGAGGACAGCAUACUGUUCUAUUCGUGUCUGCUGGGCUCCAUUUACUCAUUUCUUAAAACAGUUUUGAUAGCCGUACAGAUGCACCUUUUGUGGGUUUCUCGCCAUGAGACUCUUUCUACGCCACCUGCUGUCUUCCAGGCGAGCCCCUGGGAGGGGGGCGGUUGAGUCCCGUAGUCGGUGUGGGUUUGUGUUUAACUUGGAAACUAAGUGCCGGACCGUUUCCCAGCGUGGGCGUCCCUGUCGCACAUUCUGAGCAGCGGCGUCCGAGGGCCCGGCUCCCCCGCGUCCCUGCCCACACUCGGUCCCGCUGCCCUGCCGCGCUGUGAGGUCGGUUCGGGCACGUCCUCGGGACCCGCCGGGUCAGUGUCUCCUCGCCUUCCCAGGUCCCACCCACACAUCUUUCUCUGGUGAAGUGUCCGUUCUAGAUUUGGGGCGACGAGUUGGCGGGCCCAUCCCGGUGCUCAGCUCACGGCAGCAGCACGCGGCCCCCUGGGGUGGGCAGGUGCCAUCGAGGCCUCCAUCCCCGCUGCGUGCGCUCGGCCUCAAGGCCCGCUGCUCGGUCGGUCGCCGGGGCAGGGGUGACAGCCUUCAGCGCCGUGCCAGGGUGCUGAUAAAUACCACGGCCCAGGGCUUUUUUUAUUUAGGAUGAUGUUCGCUUGUUGGUAAUUCUUCACCUUCCAGGCGUCCUCAGCUGCACGAACCGGUUUCUGUUCUUGUAUUUCCCCGAGUGAAGUGCUGUUGGACUCGGGGCCAAUUUGCUUUCCAGGGUGCGUUCCGUGCGAAGGCCCCGGACAAGAAGCGGUUAACUGCUCUGGAAAGACUCUUCCCUUUGCCUAACUCUGAGAAGUACGCCGUGUCAGACGCGCAGGUUCGCUCAGGUCACGAUGUGUUUCCGAGGCGUGGACACUCGCAGUGUGUGUGCACGCGUGGUCCCCCCCCACCCCGGCUGCCCCGUGGGCGCACUCGGGUGACUGCGGUGAGGGUGCCCGCGGGUGAGCCCGCCUGGCUCCCAGCAGGGCCGCAGCACAGCUCCAGGGCGGGCUUUCCGUCUCUGCAGCCCCCUGUUGUUCCAGAACAGCGUGUCGCCCGAAACCACCAGGUGGCAACUCACUUCUGUCUCCUCUUCGGUGAGGUCCCGCCGUCUGGGUGUGAAAUGCAGGUUUUGCUCAACUUUGAGAAACUGUCUUUUCCCUUUUUCCCCCUCCCUUCCCUCCCCACAUUUCCCCCCCAGGUACUCCCGUUGCUAUAGCAACCCAGCUUCUGCCAAGUCUUUCUGCUGUUUUUCAUCCCAGCAGCAACAGGUGCUUCUCGGUGCCCCCCUCCCCCCCCCCCAGCCUGCUCCACUCAGAUUGGGGAUCCGCUGAAGCCCGGUGCUUUCCAGGAGUCCGUGCUCUGAGAUGAAACGGGGCGUCUGGAGGGCACUCCGUGGGUUCAUCAGGUGUGGACAGGUGGCUUCUGCGGGCUGGGGCCAGGGCGCCCUGUUUCAGUGAUAAUCGGAACCUGCUUGUUCUUACUGAGAGGGCGUCGGUUUAACACCAUCCUGAUCACUUCGGCCCGUGGGUUCGCUGCAGCGACAGACGCGAUGAACACGUUGUCUGGAAGGCCGCACGAGCACACAGAGUGGCACUACCUGGGCCGGCUAGGGGGGGGGGGGGGCAGGCACUGGCGCCCAGCUGUGCGUCGGUCAGCGCACCCACCGAGCAAACCCGCGGCCGACUACCGCUCCCCUGUCAUACCCGCAGGCUGGGGAGUUGGACCCUUCCGCGACAGGCACCCAGGCCACGGCAGCUCUGCUCUAACGGAGGCUCCUCCCAGGGGCUGUCGUCUAGAUGGGCAUGGGCUCCCCGCCCGGCCACCGCUCUGUCAUCACAGCAGCCGGCGCUUCUGAUGACAGCGUGAGCAUCGAAGCCGGAGCCUGGCCGGCCGUCUUGUGCUGUGAUUGGCGCGGGUGACACAGAGCCUCCUGAGACCACGGCAGGCGGCCAGCCACCCGGGGACGGGCCUCCAGCCCUGGGGGACUUCCGGAGCUGCUCCCCGGGGCUGGUGCUGACGGCCCCCGGCAGGCGGUGGGACUGGGGCUGCUCCAGACUCUGCCAGACGUGAACUGGGUUUUGGCAGUGGUGCCUUUGUGCCUCGUUUGUUUCCUGGGCCACGUGUGCCGGCUCGUGAGGCUCGUGCUUAGAGUGUAUCCUGCGGUCGGUUAAAAGCCAGACUGACGAGAACCCUCGUGUACUUUCCUACCUCUCUCCGUGGAAGCGUUCUUAUUUUCUCUAGAACGAUGUUUCUAAUGCUGUUUCCGCAGUUCACGUGGGGUCAGGAUGCUGUGAGGUAGGGGUGCGGCUCCAGAACCCUCCGCUCUGGCUGUGGGCACACCGCUUCCGGAGUUUGCUUUGCGGGUUGGGCGCCGUGAGGCCGGUCGGGCGCUCAGCUCAGCCCUGGCGUUGACCGGCAAGCCGCUGGCCGGUGUGUGAGCCAGGUCCCCCGGGAGGCUGGGGGCGCCUUCCGGGAUCAGCGCCCGUCCACAGAGGCACAGCGGGGAAGACACACGGGAGCUGUGGAUGGUUUGGCCGCCUGGACGGGAAGGCCGCGUGGUGGCAGAGAACAGAGAUGCGUGGGGGGGGGGGGUGUCACUGAGCGCGAGGACGCUGCCCUGGGGACAGUGACACACUGAUGUGGGAGGCAGGGAGCGGGCUGGGGGGACGGCAGAGCUGUGGGGCAGACCCCACGGUUGGCCACGGGCAGAGGUUAGGCACCCCGCUUCUAGAAAUUACCUGUUGUUGUAAAGGUAAAAUAAAAUCUUUUAAAUUGGCUACUUUGAGAGCUUUUGGAAUUGGAACAAGCGCUGCAGAAAUGACUUUUUUAAAAAUUUGUGAUCGUGUCAUAGAAGAAUUCAAAUUUUUUUCUUUACCGGUUUCAAGUGCACAGCUCAGGGGCAGGAAGCACACCCACACUGUUGUGCAGCCGUCCCCGCCACCCGUCUCCAGAACGUUCCGUCUCCAGAAUGUUCCGUCUCCCACACUGGAGCCCUGUCCCCACUGAGCACCCCUGCCCCCUCCAGUCCCUGGCGCCCACGUUCCCACUUCCUGUCUCUGUGAAGCGGGUGACCCCGGACACCUCGUAAAGGUGGGGUCACACGGCGUGUUUCCUGUGAUGGCUCAUGUCACCCGGUGCUCACAGCCCGGCCCUGUGGCUGCAGCUCCAGGACGGAUGCGCCGGACAGGACAGCGAGCAGCAGCACGACCCGUCCACGGGGCCUCCGGUGCAGAACACCGCUGUGGCCCCAACCUGGAGGACAGACCUGGCCCCGGGCCCCAGUGGUGCAUACAGAGCCGGUCGUCACCGCCUCACCCCCGCCAUCGGGCCACACUGCCCCCUGCUUGUGCUGAAGAUCCGUGUGCCUUCCAGGGUAGAUCUCAUUGGUGAAAGUUUUUCGUUAUCAAGAACUCAAAUGUUUAGGGCCACGGGGCAGCCUUUGGUGGAAGCUUCUAGCAGAACAGGAAGCACAGCGAGGUGUCCGAGCAGCAGAGUUGGCUGAUGUCGUGAGCAAACUGGCUACUUCCUGGACGCGGCCCCCACCGGCCACUUUGUCUCAUCCACGCUCAGCUCCCUGUGCGGACGGGCGGCCUCAGUCCCCAGAGCUCAGGACGCCACCGCGGUGGCCCAGCCCCCUGUCCCCCCAGGACAAAACUACAGAGCAGAUAAAGCUGUAGGAGAAGGCUGGCAGCGGGCCAGGCAGUUUGAUGAAGCUGUUUGGAGAGGUCUGGAAAUGUUUGCGUUUCUUCACUCUGGCCGACUGGGGCAGAAGAGAUCUUCUGAAAAGUCGACCUGUGUACCUAGCUGGUGGUCACCAGCCGGCUCAGGUCCAAAGGCAAGGAGGUGACUCUAGACGUCCCUCUCUCCUGUCUCUCCAGCCCCUCCGGGCUUGGCUCCCCGGCCCCUGUUCCCUUCUCCCUGCUGCCUCCUCUCUGCUCCGUAUUUCUGCUCAGUGCUCUGCCCUAUGGACUUGUGGUCGCGUUUAAGCCUGGGAGCAGGGGUGAGGUAGGGAGGGGCGCAGAGGCUUCAGGGGCUCGUGAUGAUUCUUUGCUACUCGGACAGAAAAGAUGUGCUUAGCUUUACCUUCGAGGAGUUAGUUCCUUAAUGUGCCCCAUGUUCAGAAUAAGUCCCAAUUGCAGAGGUGAGUCUGGUGAGGACAGUCGCUCGGGCCGGAGCACUUGGUGUGGGGCAGGCGGGGGCGCACCUGCUGGCUGGGGAGCCAGCACAAAUGCACACAUUGCAUCCCGUACGAGGAGCGCGGGGAGCCUGUCCCGGGGACACAGAGAGAGCCCGGCCGCGGCUGUGCAAGUCCAGACAGGGGAUCACCAAGUGCACUCAGGGUAAUCUGACCCAGUGCAUCUCAGGGUAUAUAACGACCUUCUUUUUUCUUUUUUUAAUAUGAACUUUAAAAAAAUUUUUAAUUUUUAUUUUUUUAACUUUAUUUGAGAUAGAGAGAGGACACUAGUAGGGGGGGGAGGGGCAGAUAGAGAAUCCCAAGCAGGCUCCGCACAGGUCAGCACAGAGCCCAAGGCGGGGCUCGAACUCACGAACCAUGAGACCAUGACUUGAGCUGAAGUUGGACGCCCAACCGCAACCUUAUUUGCUGUUGGGGGCGAGGGAGCUCUGUGAGUGUGUGCUUGCGGGACUCUACACUGAACACUGUGCGCUCUGCGUGCAUUUAUGUGCCCUCUCAUACAUUGACGCUGUUUUAAGUAUCUGCGCACUACGUUUGUAACAUUGUAAACAAAGCUAGAAGAAAAGAUGUUACACUCUGGAGGGAUGCUGUCACGCUGGCGUUACAUAGGUGUGAUACAACUGUUUUUAUCAGCUUUGGGAUACUGCUGAGUAGAUCUCUUUUGCUAAGAUUUCACUAUGAGAACACGUGCCUUGAGUAGAGUAAUCUGGGAUUUUACCUUCUGAGAAGAUUUGUUUGUUUCUCGACGGCGCUGAAGUACGACCUUGUCCCUACAUCUAUGGUGAUAUUGUAGAUACAAUCUCUUUGUGUAGAGACACAUAUUUCCAAUACGUUAAUUUUUGUCAAAGGUUUUCUGUGCUUUAAAGAGUUUAAUACUUACUUUCAAAUAUUCAAAUACUAAAACCUACUCAUGAUCAAAACAUACUUUGUAUGAUUUCAAUUUUUAAAGUUUCUUUGACGGCUGGGACUGUAGUCUGCCUCAGCGAGGGCUCCACGUGCGCUGUGGCUGGGUGUGGCGCUCCUGGCUGGUGGUGUCACGGGGUCCCGAGUGUUCUUGCUGACCGACCGUCGCUCUCCCUCCUCUGCCCGCGGGGACAGGGGUGUGGCACCCCUUCAGCAAGCGCAAGAGAAGUGGCUGGCAGUGCAUGCGGGGCGGGGACCGACAACAGCACAGGCCGGCCCUGGGAGGCACCCCUCUCCCCCAAGGUCCACGGCACACGGUGGGGGGCGGGCUCCCCGAUCGUGAGGCUCGCCUGUGGUUCAGCGACAGCAAGCACAGAGCGUAGGAAGGUUAGGGCUGACGGUCAUCGUGACGUGCAGGUGACGCCACACGGGGUGUGAAGUCUGCAGUCUGGGAGCGUCCUGCUUUUCGUUGGGGUUUUGGGGUUUCUCGGGAGCCUCUUAUAGCAACUAGUUAUCCAGAAAUUGGCUUACAUCUGUCCUGAGAAUUUGUAAUCUUAAGCAGAAAUUGAAAACACAUUAGAAGACUAUUCCA